GUCUAUGACUAUACUACCCUGAACAACAUGCCUGAUCUUGGAAGCUAAGCUGGGUUAGGCCUGGUUAGUACUGGAAUGGGAGACUGCUGCUUUUCAGAGUAUUUGGUUUUUCACAGGCA
rnacentral:rRNA from 1 species